rnacentral:snRNA from 1 species
GCACUCACUUCGGCUGCACAUACACUAAAAUUGGAAUGAUACAGAGAUUAGCAUGGCUCCUGUGCAACAAUCAUACACAAAAUCAUGAAGCGCUCCAUACUUCU